rnacentral:rRNA from 1 species
GACGAACGCUGGCGGCGUGCUUAACACAUGCAAGUCGAACGGAAAGGCCCUGCUUUUGUGGGGUGCUCGAGUGGCGAACGGGUGAGUAACACGUGAGUAACCUGCCCUUGACUUUGGGAUAACUUCAGGAAACUGGGGCUAAUACCGGAUAGGAGCUCCUGCUGCAUGGUGGGGGUUGGAAAGUUUCGGCGGUUGGGGAUGGACUCGCGGCUUAUCAGCUUGUUGGUGGGGUAGUGGCUUACCAAGGCUUUGACGGGUAGCCGGCCUGAGAGGGUGACCGGCCACAUUGGGACGGGGAUACGGCCCAGACCCCUACGGGAGGAAGCAGUGGGGAAUAUUGCACAAGGGGGGGAAGCCGGAUGCAGCAACGCCGGGGGCGGGAGGAGGGCCUUCGGGUUGGAAACCGCUUUCGCCUGUGACGAAGCGGGGGUGACGGUAAUGGGUAAAGAAGCACCGGCGAACUACGU